rnacentral:rRNA from 1 species
AUACGUAGGUGACAAGCGUUAUCCGGAUUUACUGGGCGUAAAGGGCGUGUAGGCGGUCUUGCAAGUCAGAAGUGAAAUUCCUGAGCUCAACUCGGGCGCUGCUUCUGAAACUGCAGGACUUGAGUGCUGGAGGGGAUAGCGGAAUUCCUAGUGGAGCGGUAAAAUGCGCAGAUAUUAGGAAGAACACCGGUGGCGAAGGCGGCUAUCUGGACAGAAACUGACGCUGAGGCGCGAAAGCGUGGGGAGCAAACAGGAUUAGAUCCCCUGGUAGUCCACGCCGUAAACGAUGAAUACUAGGUGUAGGGGGUAUCGACUCCCUCUGUGCCGCAGUUAACACAAUAAGUAUUCCGCCUGGGGAGUACGGCCGCAAGGUUGAAACUCAAAUGAAUUGGCGGGG